GCAAUCCCUGCAAGUGUGUUCAUGUUUAUCAGUUUUGAAACAGCUCAUCACUGUGAUAGGCAGUAUGGUGUUAGUCAGUGAACAUAACGGCAAAUAAAAGAGAUACAGCCAGUAAACAACAGAGCAUGCCCCAAACUCAAAGCUCUUCAGUAUCAAAGCGCAUGCUCCUUCCAGAACAGAAGGCAAUUUGGAGUAUGGUUAGGGAAGCUACUACUGCAUCAAUUUUCAAGAUAAGAAAACUGAGAUCAAGUGACUUCCCCCUGGUAAGAAGCAUCACUAAAGUCUGUGCUAGGGCCAUAAUUCUCACCCUUUGAAUUUUAAACUGUUGUUCUCUCAGUAUACCAUGUUCCUUCUCCAGGUGAUAUCUUUAGGUAAUCAACAAAAUUCCAGGAU
rnacentral:lncRNA from 1 species